AAGGAUUGAGUGGAAAGCAACUUGGGAAGACUAGAGAUCAAGCUUCAUAUGGUGGGAGUGGAGCUACUUGAUCUCAACACAAGGGUAGGUAGUUUUCUUCUCAGAAAUGUAAGGUAGGAGUGGUAGUACUUUCUGAUGGCUCUCUCCACGAAUGAAGAGGGGGUGGAGGGGUAUUUAUAGCCUCCACACAAAAUCCAACUGUUACACACAUUUGACCAAUCUCGGUCAGACCGAAGUUGACAACUCGGUGAGACCGAAAGUUCAAAUCAUGUGAACGUUGGGAUUUUCGGUGGGACCGAAAAUACAAACUCGGUGAGUCCGAUUCGUCCAAAGACAAGAGCUUGCCAAUCUCGGUGGGACCGACUUCAUCAUCUCGGUGACACCGAUUUGAUGACAGAAGGUUACAGAAGCUUGGCAACUCAAGUUUCGGUGAGACCGAGUUAAGAAUCGGAAAAUCCGAGAUUUCUAGGGUUUGGCUUUGUGGCUGAGGUGGUUCAUCUCGGUGUGACUGGGUUUGGAAAAUCGGUGGGACCGAGAUUACUUAUGAGUGUAUUAUGGAAGUGAGAGUUGCUGAUAGUUUAGGAGAUGUAUCACUAAGCACUUUGAGCAACCAGAUCAUUAUCAUAACCUCAUCCCCUUUUAAUAGUAUUGGCUUUCCUAUAGACUCAAUGUGAUCUUGGAUCACUAAACCAAAAUGGAGUCUUGAGCUUUUGCCAAUGCUUGCCUUAGCAUUUUGAGGGGUCCACCUCUUCAGUCCUUUUGCCAUGCCAAUGUGCUUGACUUUCCUGAAACAUACUUGAUAAAAGCAUUAGUCCAACCACAAAGUAUGUUGUCAUUAAUUACCAAAACCACCCAGGGAGCAAAUGUGCUUUCAAUCUCCCCCUUUUUGGUAAUUGAUGGCAACACACAAAACAAGACAUCAAAGCUUACUGAAAGAAAGACAGAAUUAUCACUAAAGCUUUGACAAACAUGUAGUACACAGGCUCCCCCUACAAGUGUGCAAGAUUUUUAUAGAUUUUGGUUUUGGACUACCACAAGCACACAAGAGAGAAAAACAAGAUGUGCUACAUGCAGCUUGGCUAUAUGCAUCAGAGCAGAUGAAAAGAAGUGAGUGAUCAUACAUAUGUGCAUGGUGAUUUCUUGCAAACAAGUAUUGACAAGCAAGUCACCAUCAUGCACAUUCUACAAGGUGCAUAUACUUACCUUGAGGUUCCUUGGCAUUGUACCUGAAGAAAUAAACUUGGGAAAACAAGAUUAGAUAACACAAGAGUAUUUCUUCAACCAACAGCAAGAACAUCAAGAGUACCAAGCCAGGGAUGACAUGUAUAAUGAGUGUCUCAUAAAGAGCACAAGCUUGAAUCAGCAAACAUGUCUCCUGAAACUAACAGAUUUUCAAUGAACUCUGAGAGAUUUUGCUUUCCAUAAGAUAUCAAUUGUGAAGAUUCCUCUCCCUUUGAGGAAAAAGCAAAAUCAAAAGAAUGAUGCCAAAUGUAAUAACCAAUGUGGAACACGGCAAAGCUUUGAUGUGAUUCUCUCCCCCUUGAGAUAAGAUUGCUCUUCUUCUCCCCCUAAAUCUUCUCUUCUCCCCUUAAGUCCCCCUAAAUCUUCUCCCCCUUUGACAUCAAGUGCCGAAAAGGACAGCAAACUAGGAAGGUCAGGAAAGAUUAAAGGAAAGAAAUGGGAUCCUUAAGAAUCACAACAGGGUAAUAAGAACACAGUUAAGCUGCAGAAGGUGAUAUCCUGAAAGAAAUAAAUCGGUGACACCGGAUUGAUAUGGAUCGGUGUGUCCGAAAGUCAGGGACUUAGGGCAGAUCCUUUUCGGUUAGACCGAAAUAACUAAAUCGGUGACGCCGAGUUUAAUUCCAAGGAAAUACAGAAUUAAUUCAGCUCACUUUGCAAGGAAUGUUUCAAAGGAUUUGCAAUGAAUUUGUAAAUGAUUUUCAAGGAAUUGAUCAGAGCCAAAAAGAAUAUUCACAAAGACAGAAGAACAGAAAAGAAAAAGAUUCCUAGAUGAAGUUUUUUUUAAGAAGAAAACUCAAUGAGAGAACAAAAUAGAAAAUAGAAAAACUCCAAAACAUAUGUACUUCAUCUAGAUAAGGGUCGGCGACAAAGUCACCUAUGUUUGAGUAUAUUGACUUAGGAGUCAAAUGAGAACAUUUGAUCAUAGGUCAUACUCAUCAUUUAAGCUCAAAAUGGGGUUGCCAUUUUUCGAUUAAGCAUUUGAUGUGAUCACAUCUUAUGAAGCUGCUUGUACUCAUGUCUUUGAGCAAAGCUUCUUAAUGAUGUGAAGAACAUACCUUGGGCUUGUUGUUGCUUUGUUCAUGUAGGUGAACUUAAUAUAGGUGCUCAUUGAGUGUGAAGUUGGAGCAUCAUUUCAACUUGUGUAGUUCAUCUUCCUACAUGGGUUAGGCAAGCAAGGAAAUACUCAAGGAUAUCCAAGAUGACAAGAGUGAAAUACUAGAUGUAUAAGGUGUCAAAAAGGAUAUGUGGAAUUUUGUUCCUUGAACUCAACAUCCCAAAGGGCUAGAUACUUGGUCAAUGACAAGAUUACUCAUGAUUUGAGUGUGUGGUAAUCUUGUGGAAUGUAGAUCAUCCAAGUACCUGCAAGGAGUUAGAUGCAAUACAAGGGGGCAAAUGUGUCCAAGACAUAUGAUCAUCGUCAUAAGAGAAAUAUCAAGGAUUAGUCAAGUAGGCUCAUGCCUUGCAUGCAUCAAUGGAGUUUUCACUCCAAGUUUGAAGCAUCAAUGAUGUUCAACUCACUCCUUAAGCGACAAAACACUUUCUCAUCAAGUGGUUUUGUAAAGAUAUCUGCAAGUAGUUUGUCAGUACGAACAUGCUUAAGAUUGAUGUCACCCUUGGCAAUGUGAUCACGAAUAAAAUGGUGACGAACUUCAAUAUGUUUCGUGCGAGAGUGUUGCACUGGAUUGUGUCCAAUCUUAAUCGCACUCUCAUUGCCACAAAGCAAAGGAACAUGUCUCACAUGUAUCCCAUAAUCCUUAAGCGUUUGUGUCAUCCAUAGCAACUGAGCACAACAUGAACCAGCAGCUAUAUAUUCUGCUUCGGCAGUGGAUAAUGAUACCGAAUUUUGUUUCUUGGAGGACCAAGAUACAAGGGAUCGACCAAGGAAUUGACAUGUACCCGAAGUUGACUUUCUAUCAACCCUGUCACCGGCAUAGUCCGAGUCGGAAUAGCCAACAAGAUCGAAAGAUGCCCUCUUAGGAUACCAAAUGCCAAAGUUAGGUGUGUGUAUCAAAUAUCUCACAAUUCUUUUAACAGCUUUAAGAUGACAUUCUUUAGGGGCUGCUUGAUAUCGAGCACACAUGCAUACACUCAACAUUAUGUCAGGACGAGAAGCACAGAGAUAUAGUAGAGAACCAAUCAUAGAUCGGUAAACCUUUUGAUCAACAGGUUCUCCAUCUUUUGUCAAGUCAUUAUGUCCACUAGUAGGCAUGGGGGUUCUCAUACCUUUGCUUUCUUGCAUGUUGAACUUCUUGAAGAGAUCCUUGGUGUACUUUGUUUGUGAGACAAAGGUACCCUCCUUAGAUUGCUUGAUUUGCAACCCAAGGAAGAAUUUGAGUUCACUCAUCAUGGACAUCUCAUACUUCUCCGACAUGAGCUUUCCAAACUUCUCGCUAAAAUGAGGGUUAGUUGAACCAAAGAUAAUAUCAUCAACAUAUAUUUGGCACACAAAUAGUUCACCAUCAACCCUUUUCGUGAAUAGCGUUGAGUCUAUUUUUCCAAUCUCAAAUCCUUUUUCAAGAAGAAAGCUAGUUAAGCAUUUGUACCAAGCUCUAGGAGCUUGUUUAAGGCCAUAAAGAGCUUUAUGAAGUUUGUAAACAUGAUUAGGCUUUUUAGGAUUCACAAAUCCAGGAGGUUGUUUCACAAAUACUUCCUCCUCAAUUUCACCAUUUAGGAAAGCACUUUUAAUAUCCAUUUGAUAGAGAGUAAUGUCAUGGUGGUUGGCAUAAGCAAGAAGAAUGCGAAUGGACUCAAGUCUAGCAACGGGGGCAUAGGUCUCACCAUAGUCCAUACCUUCGACUUGUGUGUAACCUUGAGCUACGAGACGAGCCUUGUUGCGGAUGACUUGUCCAUCUUCAUCUUGCUUGUUCCGAAACACCCAUUUGGUUCCAAUGACGUUUUGAUCAUCCUUGGGCUUCUCUACCAAAGUCCAUACAUUGUUCCUCUCGAAGUUGUGUAGCUCUUCGUGCAUCGAGUUCACCCAAUCCGGGUCUUCAAGUGCUUCUUCUACCUUCAUAGGUUCAAGACUAGAGAUAAAUGAGUAAUGCUCACAAAAGUUAGCUAAGCGAGUUUUAGAGCAAGUAAUUCUCCCGGAGUCGAUGUCGUUCAUCAUUUGUUCCACGGGAUGAUUUUUCUUGACUCUUGCUCGGACUCGGGAUAGCUUUUGUUGUGGUUGAGGCUGAGCUUCCUCAUCAUCCUCAUCUUCCUCUUCUUCUUCUUCAUUGUUGUUGGUGUUGUCUUGAGGUGGUGGAGAAGGAGGUUGUGGUGGAUCUUCUUGUUGCACUUCCUCAUCUUGGUGAGUUCCACUUGUGGAGGCCUCCAUGUUGCCUUGAGGUUCAUCUUGCCGUGAGGUAGGGGGCUCCACAUAUGUAGAUGAGGUACUCUCCUUCACUUCCAUGGGAUGGAUCUUUCCAAUAGAUAAAUCUUGAAUGGCUUCCGAUGGGUCCUUGUCUCCUACAUCAAUAGGCAUUUGCUCUACUUGCGAGCCAUUAGAUUCAUCAAACUUCACGUCUACCGUCUCUUCAACCUUUCGGGUGAAAUUGUUGUAGACACGGUAGGUGUGAGAGUUUGAUCCAUAACCGAGGAAAAAGCCUUCAUGAGUUUUAGGAGCAAAUUUGGACCGACGAUGCUUAUCAAGGAUAUAGCAUUUUGAACCAAAGACACGAAAGUAUCCCACUUGGGGUUUGUUACCGGUGAGGAGUUCGUAUGAAGUCUUGCCGAGGAGCUUAUGAAGAUAAAGCCUGUUGAUAGCAUGACAAGCUGUCUCAACCGCUUCACCCCAAAAAUGCUUCGGUGUCUUGUAUUCAUCAAGCAUCGUUCUCGCCAUCUCUAUGAGCGUUCGGUUCUUCCUCUCAACAACUCCAUUUUGUUGAGGAGUGUACGUAGCCGAGAACUCAUGUAGAAUCCCUUCCUCAUCGAGAAAACAAUCUACAUGGGCGUUCUUGAACUCCGUUCCAUUGUCACUCCGAACUUUCUUGAUCUUCACCUCAAAUUGAUUUUGGGCCUUUCUAGCAAAGGUUUUGAAGAUCCUCUGAACCUGUGAUUUGUCAUCAAGGAAAAAUACCCACGUAAAUCUGGAAUAAUCAUCAACUAUAACUAGACCAAAAGAGUUACCACCAAGGCUUUUGUAAGCAUUGGGACCGAAGAGAUCCAUAUGAAGAAGCUCAAGCGGUCUCCUUGUGGUCAUGAUGUUCUUCACGGGAUGACUUCCACCUACUUGUUUUCCUGCCUGACAAGCACUACAAAGUCUAUCUUUGUCAAAGAGAACAUCUUUAACACCAAGAAUAUGAUCACCUUUGAUUAGCUUGUCUAGAUUACGCAUACCAACAUGUCCAAGCCUUCUAUGCCAUAACCAACCUUUAGCGGAUUUAGCAAUGAAGCAAGUUCUAGGUUGGGCUUUCUUAGUGAAAUCAACAAUAUAUAGAUCACCUCUACGGAUACCGGUAAAAACCAUGUUAUGAUUGUCACGACGAAAGACUUGGCAAUCUACUUCGGUGAAUAGCACAUUGAAUCCAAAGUCAGCUAAUCUAGACACGGAAAGUAAAUUGUAUCCAAGUGAUUCAACAAGCAUGACAUUUUGAAUAGAGCUAUCAUGAGAUAUGGCCACCUUACCAAGGCCAAGUACCUUACCCUUGGAGUUGUCUCCAAAAGUCACAUACUUGCGUGGACCAUCGUUCUUUGCAAGCUCUCGAAACAUGUCUUCGUCUCCGGUCAUGUGAUCGGUGCAUCCACUAUCAAGAAUCCACUCUUUUCCACCGGAUAUGUAGUCUCUCAGAUUCGCCAUGAGAUUGAGACUCUUCAUGAUCUUGUCUAGCUCGGUGUCCGAAUCGGAGUAAUCAUCAUCAUGCUCAUGCUCAUCAUCAUAUUGACCCAUAGAUAGUUCAUCAUCAACACCUAGGUCAAUUUGACAAUGACUUGCAUUAGUUUUGUCAAUGUGACAAUAAUCAUCGGAAUGCAAUACAAGAGCAUUUCUAAUUAGAGCAUUGAUAAGAUAAGGAUCACCCUUCUUUUUCAUGAGAUCACGAAGCUCAAAGAAGCAUUUAUCAAAGUUGGGAUCAUUGGGGUGCAUCAUAUCAAAUUCAAUAGUCUUGUAUAGAAUUUCAUCAAGACCUCUCAAAGAGCAGUCCAGAUAAAGUUCUUCCAAGAACUUCCACAUAGCAUAGGCGCACUCAAAGUUUGUGACAAGCUUAAGCAAAUUAUCGGGCAAACCUCUAAUGAUAAGAUUUACAGUUCUAAGGUUACGAAGCAAAUCAAGCUCUUCAUCCAUGGUAGGGUGCAAGGGGUCAAAUGGAGGCACAUAUGGGGUUUCAACAUAUUUGCGCAAGUUAUACAUCUUAAAGAUAAUAAGCAUUUCAAUCCUCCACGAGUUAUAGGACACUCCAUUAAGAAUAGGCACUCUAUGGCUAACACUCCCAAACGUAGACACGUCCAUCUUCCUCCAAUGGUGUGUAAACCAAAGCAAUGGAAACCAAUGCUCUGAUACCAAUUGUAGGAUCGAAGAAGGUGAGAGUGUCUAGAGAGGGGUGAUUAGACUACUCGACAAGAUAAAAAUUAUGCCUUUUGACAAAGACAAGUUUUGGCAGAUUUUGCAUAUCACACAAGUCAAGUAGCAUACUACACAUGCAAUUCUAGAGUAUGGGCAGCAGAAAGUAAAUUGCACAAGUAAUAAAGAGAAGUGGAGAAGAUCAAACGCAAUUUGGAGACACGGAGAUUUUUCUCGUGGUUCCGAUAGGUGGUGCUAUCGUCAAUCCACGUUGAUGGAGACUUCAACCCACGGAGGGUAACGGCUGCGAGAGUCCACGGAGGGCUCCACCCACGAAGGGUCCAUGAAGAAGCAACCUUGUCUAUGCCAUCAUGGCCUACGCCCACGGAGGGCUAGCCUUACUCGGGGUAGAUCUUCACGAAGUAGGCGAUCUCCUUGCCCUUACAAACUUCUUGGUUCAACUCCACAUCUCGACGGAGGCUCCCAAGCGACACCUAACCAAUCUAGGAGGCACCACCCUCCAAAAGGUAAUAGAUGGUGUUGAUGAUGAUGAACUCCUUGCUCUUGUGCUUCAAAUGAUAAUCUCCCCAACACUCAACUCUCCUCACUGAUUUGGCUGUGGUGGAAGAAAGGAUUGAGUGGAAAGCAACUUGGGAAGACUAUAGAUCAAGCUUCAUAUGGUGGGAGUGGAGCUACUUGAUCUCAACACAAGGGUAGGUAGUUUUCUUCUCAGAAAUGUAAGGUAGGAGUGGUAGUACUUUCUGAUGGCUCUCUCCACGAAUGAAGAGGGGGUGGAGGGGUAUUUAUAGCCUCCACACAAAAUCCAACCGUUACACACAUUUGACCAAUCUCGGUCAGACCGAAGUUGACAACUCGGUGAGACCGAAAGUUCAAAUCAUGUGAACGUUGGGAUUUUCGGUGGGACCGAAAAUACAAACUCGGUGAGUCCGAUUCGUCCAAAGACAAGAGCUUGCCAAUCUCGGUGGGACCGACUUCAUCAUCUCGGUGACACCGAUUUGAUGACAGAAGGUUACAGAAGCUUGGCAACUCAAGUUUCGGUGAGACCAAGUUAAGAAUCGGAAAAUCCGAGAUUUCUAGGGUUUGGCUUUGUGGCUGAGGUGGUUCAUCUCGGUGUGACUGGGUUUGGAAAAUCGGUGGGACCGAGAUUACUUAUGAGUGUAUUAUGGAAGUGAGAGUUGCUGAUAGUUUAGGAGAUGUAUCACUAAGCACUUUGAGCGACCAGAUCAUUAUCAUAACCUCAUCCCCUUUUAAUAGUAUUGGCUUUCCUAUAGACUCAAUGUGAUCUUGGAUCACUAAACCAAAAUGGAGUCUUGAGCUUUUGCCAAUGCUUGCCUUAGCAUUUUGAGGGGUCCACCUCUUCAGUCCUUUUGCCAUGCCAAUGUGCUUGACUUUCCUGAAACAUACUUGAUAAAAGCAUUAGUCCAACCACAAAGUAUGUUGUCAUUAAUUACCAAAACCACCCAGGGAGCAAAUGUGCUUUCAACUGGGUCGGUUGGAGCCGGACGCCGGCCAUGCUGGCCGGGUCCGCGCUGGAUCUCUGGGACGGGCUCGUCGCCCAAUCCGCCGGCAGCUGUGGCGGCCGGAUCGCGCCGAGUCCGGGCUCGGCCGGAGUGCGCCUCACCGGGUGGCGAGGAAGCUGUGUGUAGAAGUUCACUGGCUCUGCCAAGGCGGGCGGAGCCGGAUCCCGGCGGCUUGGCGAGCUGGUUGAGGCGGUCUUGCUGGGUGUUGGCCGCGUUGAGGAGUUCGCGCAUCCGCCCAAUGUGCUCCUUCAGCUCCUCACCCGUGAGCUGGUCCUGGCCGACUGCGGCUGCCUGGGCAGUGCGCAUGUUCUUUGUUGGGGUCUCGUAGACGGUCGGGACGGCACCAAGGGCCCGGCCGAUCACUCCUCCUCGGGCAUGCACGUCGGCGACCCGGCUUGGCUCGGCCGUGGCGGGCGUGAAUCCGUAGGCGGCAUUGCGCUCCAGCUGAGCGGCGUCCAGGCGACGCUGAGUGGCGGCGAGCAUCUCGGACAGGUCCAGCAUCUGUUGGCUCCUUUCCUCGAGCUGGGUUCGGGUCUCAGUGACGUUGGUGGCGUCGACGUCGGUGCCGAUGGGGAUGUGGAGGCUUUGCGUCGCGGCGUGCAACGGAUCGGACGGAUCGGUCCGUUCUGCUGUGGCCCUAGCUUCGGCAGCCUUCCUCGUCUUGCUCGACGAGGAGGAGGCGCCAUCGCCGGUGAUGAAGACCUCCACAUGGACGUCCAUUGUCCCGGCGGAAAUGCCGCCGCCGAGGGAGAGGGGGGAGUCGGAGUAGCUAAGCACCUCGUUGGGGUACUCAUCGGCCGCGAACGCAUCGGAGAUGCGCAGCGUGGCGAAGGAGGCGGCGAGCGCACCGACGACGUUGUCCGCCAGCGUGACGGACUUGUUGGAAUAGGAGAAGGGCCCCGUCUGAAGCAUGCUCCCGGCCAGCUCCUCGAGCUGCCCCACGGUGGGCGCCAACUGUCAUGGUGGGCGCACGGCAGAUGCCAAGGGAUGGCUAAAGAGAGGACAAGGCUUGAAAGCGCUGGUGGGCUCCAGAGGCGAGGUUGGCAUGAGCGGGCGCAGGACGCCAGACAUACCCAGGUUCGGGGCUCUCCGGAGAGAUAACACCACUAGUCCUCCCGAGUGUAGUUGGAUGUUCGAUAGUAUAAUGUUGCUCCUGGAGCUGUAUGGGGGAGGAAGGACGCUGGCCAAGGCUUGGGCUACUCCUUCUCUCUAGUGUUGCUGUUUUGGUGGCUAGUUCUGUGGUUACUUGCCUUUCUCUCAUUACAUGCCCGUAUGAGCGUGGGCUCCUGGGGGCUUUUAUAGACCAACCCCACGGGGAUACAAUGGUAAUGUUAGAAGUUGGUGGGUCCGCAUUGUUGGUGUCCGGGGACCCGGGCUGGGUCCCGCUGAGGGCUUGCGGUUCGCCGGGUUCCCCUAGGUGUGGGCCCUGCGUGCCUAGGGGGGACUGUGCACGGUCUUGCCGAUCGUCAGGGCAUGGCCGAGUCGAGUCGUGUAUAGUGGCUCUCCGUCAGGUUGCCGCUUGUUGUCUUCAGCGGUGAGGGCGGGGGCACUAUAGCCACGCCGGCCCUGGUCAGCGGGUAGGUGAGGGGCACUGUUGCCACGCUCCGGCUGACCAGAGGCAUGGGCGGGACACUGUCGCCUUGGUCAUCGUUGAUUGAAUACUCAUCCCAUCGUACGGCCUGGAUGGGACGGGAGCUGACCCAUGGCUGGACUGCGGAGCACGCCACGGGUGGAGCUGGCUUGUUGAGGAAGCUUUCGUGGUGCCGGGUUCGGCUAUCUUGCGCUAGUUGUUGAGGCCAAGUCGGCGCGUCUUGCCGGGUCGGAGAGUCUGGCCGGGUUGCGAGUCUUGACCCGGCCAAGCGCGUACCGGUUUGAGGGGCGGUGCCAGCCCCGUUGUUUUUGUUUUUUGAAGAGGAUCCGGGUUCUAUUGCCUGCCCGGGGUUCAUCCCUCCGACAAUACCGGUGCAAUUGCCUUGGCAAAGGAAUCCAGAUUUCACAAGAGAACCAAGCACAUCAAGAGAUGCUUCAAUUCCAUCUGUCAUCAAGUGUCAAAAGGGGACAUAGAGAUUUGCAAGAUACAGAUGGAUCUGAAUGUUGCAGACCCGUUGACUAAGCCUCUUCCACGAGCAAAACAUGAUCAUCACCAAAUCUCCACGGGUGUUAGAACCAUUACUAUAUAAUCUAGAUUAUUGACUCUAGUGCAAGUGGGAGACUGAAGGAAAUAUGCCCUAGAGGCAAUAAUAAAGUUAUUAUUUUUUUGCUUAAUUCAUGAUAAAUGUUUAUUAUUCAUGCUAGAAUUGUAUUAACCGGAAACUUAGUGCAUGUGUGAAUACAUAGACACAACUUAUAGUCCUUAGUAUGCCUCUACUUGACUAGCUCAUUAAUCAAAGAUGAUUAUGUUUCCUAACCAUACACAUGUGUUGUCAUUUGAUGAACGAGAUCACAUAAAGAUUGAUAUAUUGGAAAGCUAUGUUUGGAGACUAGAAAGGUUCCGAGUGGUUCGGGCAUUUUUCCGGAGUACCGGGAGGUUGCCGGAACGUCACUACAAAAAAAUACACUUCCGUCAUGAUACGUGUUUGUCGCAGUAGGUCGCGUUUUUUGUCAUGCAUGUACAUCCAUGAUGAUUUAUGACAGAAUCCAGAUAGUCAUACAUGUGCUGUCGUAGAAGUGUUCCAUGACAUUACCAAAACUAUCAUCACGGAAGUGUCCACUCCAUGACGAUAAAUCGCGCGUCACAGAAGUGCUUUCGUCAAGAAUGACCAACACGUGGCAUGCACCGUAAUGGAACGCUGUUAAGCUAUCGGGUACGGUUUUGGAUCCGAUAACCCGUUAACAACCCCAACCAAUGGAGAUUUUCCACGUGUAAAAUCAUCAUUGGCUGGAGGAAACAUGUGUUGGCUCAUCGUUGGGACAGAUGUCAUCCACUCAUUGGACAGAAGGCGCCUAUGAUACGUGGACACGUGGCACGGCCCAACAGAGGCCCAUUCCUGUGAAAAGGCCGGCCCGUUUGACUUGGGAAAAAGGUGGCGGGCCGGCCAACUGAAAGCCUGUUAACGGCCUAUUCGCAUAUAGCCUAUUUACAGCCCGCUAACCCAGGGCCCGUUACGACCUAUCCGAAUUAGGCCGAGUAGCGUCAUAUGGGUCGUCCAAUAUGAUUCUAGCCUGUUUUAACUUCCGGCCCAUGUAUGGCCCAUGACGUCUUUCGGCCCAUAUGAGGCCCUUUGUAACUCUUGGCCCAUUAAUGGCCCGUGGUGAAACUGGCCCGUAAUAAACAGUGUAUCACUUUAUACCCAUUAACGGCCCAUUAUUCCAUUGGGCCGUUUCCAGCCCAUGUUAUCUUUCAGCCUUCUCAGGGCCCAUUUAUUCUUGGGCUCAUUUCCAGCAUUCGGUUACUUAUGGCCCGUUACUGUCUUUUUCUGCUUGUGGGCCAAAUUCAGCCCGUUGUUACAGUCGGCCCAUUUGUGGCUCGUUAAUACGUUGGGCUGUUUUCAUAGCGUCAUCAAAUAUGACCUAUUAACGAUGGCCCGUUAUGGUCGGCCCAUGAACGGACGAUUCCAACUCUAGCCCGUUUGCGACCAUAAUGCGGUCUGUUAUUGGCCCAUGUUUGGCCAAUCGAUCAUACGGCCCAGAUAAGGCCCAUUGAUGAUACAGCCCAUAGAAGGCACAUUGUUUCUACGGCCUGUAGAAGGCCCAUUGUUUCUACGGCCGGUAGGAGGCAUAGUGUCACUACAGUAAAUAUGUAGCCCAUGGCUAUUGUGGCCUAGUUUUAAAAAAUAGGUUAUUGCGGCCACUAGCAAACCGCGGAAAAAGAACUGCACUGACUACAAGCAAACAAAUAAACAAGACAACAAGGAAAUAAAUUAGCAAGCAACUAACGCUAGGCUAUCACGGCUAUUACACAUAUUACAUCCACUGGGCAUCAAAGUUCGCCACCAGUGCAAAUAUAGGGAACAAAGCAGCAUAUCAUAUACACUAGUUGUCAAAGUUGGCGACCAGCGCAAAUAAAUGCCACAGCAAAACAAAUCCAGAACUGAAACCACUUCAGAAGAUCUCAAGAAACAAUAUCCUGGGUACCCAUAAUGCUGGCAAGAUGCUUAGCAAGCUUAUUAACUUUCUCUUGUUUAGCGCUUAAAUCCUCCAGCGCUUGUUGUUGCACCAGGAAGUAUGCAUAUGAAUUCUGCAGGGACUUCCUCAAUCCUUCAGCUUCAUGUCACAGCACAUCUGAUCGAUGUCUUUCAACUUGAAGAUGAGACUCAAGAAUAUGAACUGAUUCAGGUAGCGAGUUCGAAGAGCUUGUGCCAGCAGUAGUGGCCAGUAACUCGAACACUACAUCAAGACAGGACUUUUGGAUUCUCUCACUGUCGUCAAGACAGUAUUUAUCAGCUUUCUUGGAAACCAAUAGGGAUGUCUCACUAUCGUGAACCUUAUCUGCAUUACUUCCUUUACCAUUGCAUAAUGCGGUACUCAGGGGCGGACCCGGGACAAAAAUGACCCGGUGUCCCAUGUCUACCACAUGUGUAUGUCAAGUAGUAAUAUACUCCCGGUAACCCGGUGACCCAGGAGUACAUAAGAAUAAUGGCUUGUAUUUUCUUUUCGGCCUUUGGCCGGUAACCUCCUUCUUAUUUAAUGAAUGAGGCAAGUCUUUUGCCUCCGUUUAAAAAAAUAGAACAAAGUCUACAUAGAAUAUGAUAUAAGAGUCAAUAUGCUUACCAGAAAUCCAAAUAUAAGAGGUUCGCUUGAAAUAUUAGUUGAUCGUAGAAUAUGCAACAAUAGCAGAGCAUCAAAUUAUCAAAAUAAGUACGAAGGAUGCUAACACAAUGCGACAUUAGAGCUCUGAUUGCCUACAGAACAAAAGAAACAAAACCACUUAGUAAUAUAUUAAGUAUAAUUCUGCAAUAAACAGAUAUGUUAAGACAAGUACCUUUUAAAAAUAUUUUAAAGUUUUUUCAUGACCCCAAAGCGAUCAAUUACCGCUUCAUUCUUCAUUGAUAAUCUUGCCAAGUCGCCCGAAGCCGGAUCAGUGGGGAACUAAAAUUUCUGGAUGAUAUUUUUCCAUGUUUUAGUCCAUAAACUGAGCUUCUACUAUAAUUUAAGAUUUUUUCCCCAACUGUUAUUAAGAUAAUUAAAAUUUGCACAAAGAAAAGAAAGAACUAUAAAACAUAUUACUGUACUUGAACUGCUAGGUACUCCCUCCGUCCGAAAAUAAUUGUCAUCAAAAUGGAUAAAAAGGGAUAUAUCUAGAACUAAUAUACAUCUAGAUACAUCCCAUUUUAUUCAUUUUGAUGACAAGUAUUUCCAGACCGAGGGAGUAUAUAAUUAGACUUACUUGACAUUGUGCUUGUGCGUCCAGCCGGUAGGUGCUCAAGAGUAUCGCAGACUUUUCUCCAAUCUCCACUCAGUGCAUGAUAAUUCUAGAUAAUCCAAUAAUACCAAAUACAAUUAAAUUCUCUAGCCCUAUCCAGUAGCCCUAUUGCCCUAUGGUAGAAAAGCAUUCAAGAAUUGGAUUCUGGAUGUUAUAGAUGCAAGUCGCAUUGGGAAUUUGCGGCUUUGGUGCAGCAGCAGACGUACCAAUUUAGUUCCCCACUGAUCCGGCUUCCGGCGACUUGGUAAGAUUUGGCAUUCCUGACGACUUGCAGUGAGCCUGACGAAGCAGAUGAAGAGGCGGAGGCGCAGGUAUGAAUCAGAUUGAUCGAUGUGGUGUGGAGGACCUGGUGUGGCGGCGAACUGCUCGUUCGCGGCGGCCGGCGAGUCGCAUCCUUAAAGUGGGCCGCGCUAGCAGCUGUUCUCCUUACUGGGCCGCAUGGAGCAAUACCGGUGUCCCUCACUCUUUUUUACCGGUGUCCCUCACUCUUUUUUACCGGUGUCCCUCUCUGUUGGGCUCUAAGGUUACAAGGUAACGCGAUUUUUUACCCGGUGUCCUGUGCUACCUGCUGGGCCAACGUGGGCUCGCCCCUGGCGGUAGUAUUCUCCAAUAUUUUGUCUGCAUUCUAAAAGAGAAACAAGUAGACAUAUCAAAGGUUUACCAUGUUGUAUAUGAAACUCAUUUUUGUAAAUGAGUUCAGUAGUAAAGUGGACAGGAUAACAGCAUGAAACAAACAUAUAUCUAUGUACCAUGAUCACUUUAUGAUCUAUAUCAUUCUAGUUUUUGUUGCCAAAUCAAGAUAGAGACACAGUUCAAAUAAUAUUUGUUCAAGAUAAAGCAGAAUAGACAGAAUAUAAGUGUCGGAAACUAUAGAGCAAUAACAACACUUGUAAUGUGCAUGACAUGAGAACAUAAGUGUUUUUUCAAUUGAAACUGAAAUCAACAUAGAGCAGGUUACAACAGCAAACCAGUUAAAGAAACAGGUAUAAAACAUACCUGUUGCACCAUUGGAGUUUCAAUUACAUCCUUCAAAUUUGAAAAUAGUUGGUAUGAGUAAAUACUGUAAUGCAAGAGCAAACGAGUAUGAACCAUAGCUACAGAACCUGACCCGAGAACAAAUCUUCUUCUCCUUUAAGCGUUGAGUUGGGAUUCGGAGUGGUGGUCCUCGUGCUUUGGGCACUGCAGUUCCCUUACUAACUGCUCGUGUUUGGGUGCUCUGUGGUGGAGACGGUGAUGUGUCAACUGGAACUGGGUUACUAUCUGCCAGUGUUGGGGUUAGAAGGGGUGUAGCUGGUUCUCUAUCCAACUAGGUAGGGGUACAAUCUGCGAGAGUCUGGGUUAUGUGUGGUGGAUCUGGUCCUUGGGCAAGUACAACCGUGGUUCUAUCUGCAUCAAUUGGUAGCACUAUCUUUUUUGAAGACCGUGUUGUUACUCCCUUAGAUACUACCAUCACCCUCUCCAAUUCAAAUGGCUGAUAAACAAGAAAAGUAAUUGAAAGUAUAGACAUUGUAUGAUAGACAGGUGCAAUGGAUAGUGGGGAAUAAAAGAGGGCAUGAAAUAAUUCACAUUUAUGUUGUCUAACCAAACAGAAUAGCAUGACACAAUUUCACAUAUAUGAUGGCUAACUAAACAGGAUAGCAUGACACAAUUUCACAUUAUGAUGGCUAACUAAAAAAGAUGGAAAGACAUAGUUCAAAAUAUGAUGACUAUGUAAACAGGAUGACAUGAUAUAACUAUAUAAUGUGUUUAUUAAAUAGGUUGGCAUGCCAUAAUUCACAUACAUUCACGGAUAGAAUGCCAUAUAUCAAAAUAUGAUGACUGUAAACAUUAAACAGGAUGAGAUGAUAUAACUAUAUGAUGUCUUUAUUAAAUGGGUUGCCAUGCCAUAAUUCAGAUAGAUGAUGUGUAUGUACUAUGUAAACAUGAUGGCAUGAUAUAAUUCAAACAUAUGAUUUAUAUAGUAAGCAAGUAAGCAGAUGGCAAUCCAUAUAUGAUGUAAAAACUAAGCAAUGCAAGACAACAUGCAUGACAUGGGUAAUAUAACCCUGCCAAGUUUGAGCAUAGACCUCAGGGGGAAAAUAGGACUGGUCAUUGGUCUCUGAAUCCUCCUCUGAGGAGCUCUCUGUGACCAGCAAGAUGUCUGCUUCAGCAGGUAGCAUUGUCUGCUCUGAAUACCUUAUUUUAACUCCAGAUACUUCCAUCACCGCUUCAAAUGGCUGAUGCAUAGGAAGAGUAGUUGAAUAUACAAAUGUUGUCGACAAAUGGAACAUGUAAUACAAAAAAAUGAUAGCAUGAUAUAAUUCACAUACAUGAUGAUUGGCUAAACAGCAUGGCAUUUCAUAAUUCACAUAUAAUGCCUUUGCAACAAGAUAGCAUUCAUAAUUCACAUAUAUAAUGUUGUGCAACAAGAUGGCAAUGCAUAAUUCACAUAUACGGUAAUUAGACACUGAACAGGUGGCAUUCACACAAAGCAUGUCCAAACUAAUCAAGUGACAUAGCAAUUCGAGACACCAUACGCACGAUAUGAUCAACAUAACCCUGCCAAGUUAGAGCAUACACCUCAGGGGGGAAUAGGACUGGUCAUCUGUCUCUGAAUCCUCCUCUGAGGAGCUAUUCAUAACCAGUGAGAUAUGUGCUUCGUCAGAUAGCAUAGUCUGCUCUGAAGACCUUGUUUUCACUCCAGAAUUUGCCAUCACGUGUCAAAUGGUUGAUGCACACGAAGAACAGUUGAAUGUACUAACAUUGUUGACAAAUGUAAUAUGUAACGAAAAAAAGGAUGGCCUGAUAUAAUUUACAUAUAAGAUGACUGGCUAAGUAGGAUGGCAUUGCAAAAUUGACAUAUAUGAUGCCUGGCUAAACAGGAUGGCGUUGCAUAAUUCACAUAAAGGAUGAAUAAACUAAACAGAUGGCAUUCGCACAAAGGAUGUCUAAACUAAGCAGAUGACAUAUUUGAUGUAUAAAGUAAGCAAUGCAAGGCACCAUAUGCAUGAUAUAACCAACAUCAGCAUGCCAAGUUAGAGCGAAGACCUCAGGGGGUAAAUAGUAGUUGUCUUCUCCUUCUGAACCCCCCUCAGAACAGAUAUCUUCCUUUCGAUUACAAUCCGAAAUGCGUGGAGGGGGCUGCCUUUGCGCCUACCAUGGAGCGAUGUCUGCAUGAAAGUUUAUUGCCACGCAAGGCUCGUCUCUUUUGCUCUACAUGUUCAGUUCCAUUGUUUACAAUAACUGUCAUGCAUAGGAAUAAAACAUAGUGAGAUUAUGUAAGGAGAGCAUGCAGAAAUCCAGAGUGAUGGUUGCAACCUAUGGAUAGACCCAAAACCAAUAAUAGCAGGCAGAUAAUGGCUUCAGUUAAAAAAUACAGAUAAUGGCUUCUUUACUGUUUGUUUCCCACCCAACAUGAAACUCAUAGUAGAAACCGGAGAUUAACCAGAUAGUAGAUAGAUACUAUUGAUUGCGGCCCCAAUAUGUACCCCACAACCAUUUAAAAACUCAAGUUUGACCAUUAGUUUGGAGCUGACUCAGAGUCUAAUUGGUGAACAGGACGAUAAAGUAGCAUGUAAUAUUAAGCGAUGCAUAACGUAAGCAGACACUACUAGGGAAAACCUUAUACAUAGAAAUUUAGCAACAGCGUGGGUCAAAAAAGGGCGCUAGUGCUAUAUAGCAGUAGCGAUUGAAGAAAAACCGCGCUACAGAUACAACCUUAGCAGUAGCGCGUGUAGUUGCAAAAGCGCUACUACUAAUAUUCCCACUGGCAGAAUGAUAGGCUACGCAUAGAAGUAGCGGGCUUGGAAGAAACGCGCUACCGCUAGGGCAUAAUUAGCAGCGCGUUUAAGAAGAGCGCUACUACUAACGGAAAUAAAAUAAGAUGAAAAACAAAUAGAAAAGUAAAUGAAAACGGAAGAAAUAGAAAAAGGAGAAAGGAAAAAAUAAAAUGUAAAGCAAAAUAAAUGAAAAAGCGAAAAAAUGGAGGAAGGCAUCGCAGCAGCGUGUGUUUGUAAGAGGCGCUAUAGCUAACGUAGCUGCAGCGCGUGUCCUAGACCCCUGCUAUAGAAACAGAAAAGGAAAUUAAAAAAUGGAAGAAAUUUACAUAGCUAUAGCAGUAGCGCAUUUUGUAAAAACCGCUAUAGCUAUCUUAGCUAUAGCGCGUUUUACCAAACGCGCUACCGCUAAGUUUGACUUAACCAAAAAACCGUUUCCCCUCGGCCACCACUUCUCCCCCAAAUCCCUCAACCCACCCCGCGCGCCGCAGUCUCCCUGAUUCACCGUCGCCCCACUUCACCGCCGACGUCGACGCCACCAGAGCCGAGCGCCGUCGACGCCACCGGAGCCGCCCCCAACGCCACGGAGCCGCGCGGCAUCGUCAACGCCACCGGAUCCGCCAUCGACGCCACCAUAUCCUUCCUCGCCACAACUGCCUCUCUCGCCGUCACCGGAGACGCCCCUGCCUCCCUCGCCGUCACCGGAGACGCCCCUGCCUCCCUCGCCACCACUGCCUCCGUCGCCACCACCGGAGCCAUCCUCUGUAAGCCCCCACCCAUCCUCUCUCUCUCAUGCAUAGGUUAGCCAGUUUAAUUAGGUUAAUUAUCUAGGUUAGGGCAAAAAUUUAGUUAGGGCUUUGACAGAGAAGUAGUUAGGUUAACUAGUUUAAUUAGGUUAAUUAUCUAGGUUAGUGCAAAAAUUUAGUUAGGGCUUUGACAGAGAACUAGUUAGGUUAACUAGUUUAAUUAGGUUAAUUAUCCAGGUUAAUUAGUGCAAAAAUUUAUUUUAGGCUUUGACAGAGAACUAGCUGCGUUAACUAGUUUAAUUAGGGUUAAUUAUCUAGGUAAACUAGAUUAACUAACUAGGUUAAAUAGGUAGGUUAAUUAAGCUAGGUUAAGUAGAUUGGCUAGGUUAGAGGAAAAUUUUAUUUUAGAGCAUUAGGUCAGAAGGGUUAGAGAAAUGGAUUUCCUUUGCAAUUUAAUUGGGUUUUGUGUUUAGUGAGGUCAUUUUGCAAAGGUUUUUGAUUUUUGAAAAGACCACUAUUUUUCAAGGAAAAGAAUUUAGGCAAAUUUUAUUUUUCAUUGAAGUGGUCAUGUUAUAUCUUUUCAUUGAAGUUGUUUGAUUGUGCCCAAGUGGCUUUGUUGUUUCCAGGGAAUGAUGCUGAGUGGCCUAUGUUUUGCCGGAAUGUUGAUUCAUUUCUGUUCCGGCAAAUUUCAGGUUCUCGAUUUGUCCACUUUUUAGCAAAGGUCAUGCCGAAAUUUUCCGUGAAUUUCGGCAUGACUUGUGCUACAAACUAGGACAUAUCGAGUGCCCGAGAUUUGCCGCACCAGGAAGGAGUCAACAUUCCUGCAAAACAAUAGUCCUUUUUUAUGUCAUUAUUCAUUUUAUUAGGUCUAGAAUUAAUUUACUAGAUUUAAUCAUAGGAAAUGUGGCUAGCAACGAUGAAGGACAGGGUUCUGGUGAUUGCGACGACGUCUACCGGGCAGCAGACGAAUUUUUUAGCCUUACCGACGAUCAACAGAUGUUGUUGUUGGGCCCACCGGUGGCAUCGGGGACUAAGACCGACACGUAGACCGGUGCUAAGACUGAGACCGGCACUGAGAUUCAGACCGGCAUCGAGACCGGCGCUGAGACCGGUGCUGCCUCGGGGAGCGGAGCCGGUGUAGAACCGAAAGCAAAGAGGCAACGGGUUCCUAACAAACUCAGGACUACAAGACUGGUGGUCACGGAGGUGGACGACGGCAAUUUUGAGCCAAAGGUGCCCGAGGAAGCGCGCGCGUGCUACGGCAAUCAAAUAGGCUGCAUCAUACGGACAACCGCCACCAUCAACGAUGAGAAACUACAGAAGAUAGAAAAUAUGAGGAGCUCCCUCCUAAAGAAGUUUCACCAGAUAUUCUUGUUCCCGGGCCGGAAUGAGAAGGAUUAUGAAGAUCCAGACGAGGACCCGGCGAAGAAGAUAAACAAACACGCCAUGACCAAGUUUAGCGACGCGUUGGCCGCCUGGAAAAAUCGAGUGAAAGCAAAGAUCAACGAUGGGGAACCCUACUCCGAGAUUGUAAAGGAUAAUACGACAAUCACGGAAGAGCAGUUUCAAAUAUUCAAGGAGGCUUGCAAGGCCGAAGCUGCCAAAAAAAGUCUAAGUACAUGAAGGCGCUUCAAAAGAGGAACAUUGGGAGCCACCACCUCGGAAGCCAUGGUUACGGUGGAAAGAGGUCCAAAUGGGCCAAGGAGGACGCGGAAGCCGCGAGUCUGGGCAUCCCAGACCCCUUGGUGGAUUUCACCGUCCCGCAGGAGCGUGACGUCCUGAGGGCCCGACACCAUUGGGACCCAGUGAAGAAGGUUUACAAGACAACACCGGUCAUUACGGAGUUCAUGAGACUGCUGGUAAAUUUAGUUUCUGAUCAAUUCGACUGCACACGUUAGUCAUAUUUGUAAAUGAUCCUUGUGCCUUAAGCAGAGAGAGCAGCACCGGAUUGCGGCCGAAAGCGACUCGCCGUCUGAGGCAUUGGCGAAGCCCAAGUGGGACACUCCAUUCAACCGGGCGUUGAACAUAUUGAAACAACAACCGAUGGAUACUCGACCAUCGUAUGGACGCGUGCACGGUGUCGGAGACGGCGCCACGUGGAAGAAGUACUACCGUGAGACCACGGAGAAGAGAAAGGAAAGACGGAGGUUAAUUGAAGAAAACAUCAACAAGAAGGUUGAGAUGCGGUUGACAAGAAAUCAUCUCAGACAGUCGCAACAGCGGUAGCUGCCGCAAAACAGGCGAUUUCACUUGGACAAGGCAAAAUCCAGAAGAAAAAAAUGCAGAGGACUUUCCCCUUGCUAACUUCUUGGGAGCACCUGCUCCCGCACCGGCUCCCGCACCUGCUCCCGCACCGGCUCCCGCACCUGCUCCCGCACCGGCUCCCUCACCGGCUCCCGCACCGGACGUGCUCGGUGGUGCCUCCUCUUUGGCUGAGCUCGACGGCCUCACGGUAUCUAUCACACCGGCCCCCUUCAAUAUAAAUGUAUAAUCUCCCGUUUUCGUUGCCUUUCGGAUGUCUCACGUCGCAGACUUUUCUUUGCAGGCCGACGAAACACCGUGCACCAUAUUGUACACCAUCGGCGAACAGAAGAUGGACGUGGGGAAGGCGACGAUAAAGGAGCCGAAGGAACCAUUGUUCUACAGCCGGCUGAUCCCCCCGAACGCCUUCAAGGUUUCCGUGGCCAGUGUCAAACCGGGCCAUGAGAAUUUGCCUCCUCUAAUACUAGUGGGGGAUGACGACGAGACCCCGUGGCAGCUUGGUGAUUGUUGCAAUGGGUGGGUCCUAUUGUGGCCAAAGAGUCUGCUUCGUCUGGAGGUGGCCGGGAGCACACCCACGAGCACACAGCCUCAGCAAGGUAUGAACAUCAACACCCCACCUACCCAAUUAGCGUCGGGUGUCGGGUUCGGUGAUAGCGGACGGGGUAAGGAGGAGGCUCCAUUAGUCGCUGAUGACGUCGCCAUGGAUGAGGAUGAGGAUGACGAUGGCGCUGAACAGUAUGUCUAUACUGGCGCCUCCUCAGGGUUUGAGCGUCAUGAGUCAGUGCCUGAAUUACCGUCUCAACGUAUUAUUGACGACCUUCCGGUAGUAAAGAAGUCUAGGAAGAGAGCGAGGAAAGGCAAAAAAGUUGAUUCGACAAUCCAGCCGCCUUAGCAGCCUCGGCUUCAGGACCGUAUAGAUAUCCCCGAUGCGGAUAAAUGGCAUAUCCCCGGUCAACCAAUCCUACCUGAAACAGCGCUACGGGCCAGAUUUGGCAAUCUAAGGAGACUUCAUGACGAUGUGCUGCGGGUAGAGAAAGGCCUCAUCGCCUCGAAAGAUCCAGGAUACCCACUUUACGUGGUUAACAUUCCGCGGCAAAUGUUGUAUGUCGACAGCUUCCCCGCGGAUAAGUUCUUCCUCCGAUUCGAUUACAUAUUCGACAUGUUUCACGUGAAGAAGCUGGAUUUUACGUUUGUCCGCCUUUAUGCCUUGCACAUGAACUACAUCAUUGGGGUUGAGCAGAUACGUCAUAUCUGUGUCGCUGACCCGUACUACAUGCACGAGGGCUUCUUGGGAGUCUGUGCAGAGCACCGUGAAUACGCGGGAUUACAUCAUCAGUUUCAUGCUCGCCAAUAAGGACAAGGAGGCGAUUCUCGUGCCUUAUCAUCCCGUGUAAGUCAUCCGCGCUGCGAUCCUUCUUCCUUCAAUUUCAAUAAUUCAUUUGCACGGUGGAGGCUAAUUAAUUUGAGGUGUACUUAUUUUGCGCAGCGGCGGGCGCGCCGUCCUCAUCAUCCUCUACCCCCGAUUCUCCCACGCUCUUUACUUGGACUCGUCGAAGAACAUUCACAAAAAGGAUUACACCCACAUCAAAGAUGUUCUCGACAGUGCUAUGUUUUACUACCAAGCAAGGGGUGGAGAGGUUAGGGACAAGAAGAGAAGGGGCGGUAGGGACGCCUUCAGCCAUAAGACCGACUUCUGCUGCAUUCAGCAACCGAACGAUUCUCUUAAUGAUGGAUUCUAUGUCCUACACCACAUGCUGGAGUACAGACGGGAUCACCAGAACCUUCGCAUGUCACCUAGAUCUGGCGAUGCCCAUAUUCUGCAAUGGGCAAAGGACAUAGGAGAUAUCGAGGAUCAUCGACUUCGAGCUAAGUUCUAUAACAUCCAGCGCGAACUUGCCCAAAUAAUCAUGAAUGAGGUCGUCGGAAAAACAGGGAUGUUCUACGCAGAAGGACAAAUGUCGCGGGAAGACGUCCGAACAUGGAUAGCCUCUCAGUGUCUCGACAUGAAGCCUUUCACUAAGCUCGAGGACUAUCUCCCUGACAUGGAUGGAUGGCACGACAUGAUGGAGUGAUUGUCGAUAUACGACAAUGUGUCCGUUUAGUCCAUACUUUCUUUUAUGACAAAACUUUGAGUUAGGCACGGUGAAACUUUAUUUGUGAUGUAAUUAAACCGUCCUCCUCCUCGACUAGCGAAAAUCACUCUAGUUAGGGCAUUUUGGGUACGAUGAACUUUGUUUAUGCUUAUGAUAUGUUGUUUCUAUUUUUGCCAAGUCUGUCUCUUUCUGUUGCUCAACUAUAUAUGUUGCAUAUCAUCGACUCAUGUGACGAUGCAGGUGCAUAGAUCAUAGAUGGCGAAAAAGUGCUACACCAGGAGUAUAUAUACGACAAGUGGCCGGAGUGUCAGGCCCAGGUGUACCGGUUUUCGGUUUCCGAGCGUCAGGCAGUAGUUAGUUUAGGUUCAUGCUAAUGCGAGAGGGGGAUACGAACUCAUGUACUCAAAGUGAUAGCUAUUCUCGCGUAUAUCAUUGUUUAGAUGGAUGAUGAUGUAUUUGCAAGUAAUCGAGACUUGUAUCGCUAUUUUCAAGAUUGAUGACGAGAGACCACUUUGUGUUGGAUGAUGAUUAUGAUGAUGACAUGAUUUGAUGAGACUAAUUGUAUGUAUAUGCUAUGAUUACAUUUGUAUAUGGAUGAUAUGCUAAAGAUUAUUGUAUAAAUCUUAUUCAAAUACAAAACAAAUAAAAAACAAAUAUGCAGGAAAAAACAAAUAAAACUAGUAGUAGCGAGGGGGGAAAUUUAGCAGUAGCGCCGCCUUACCAGUAGCGCUUCCCUAUAAACAGCGCUACAGAUAAUAUCAGUAGCGCCCUUUUCUAAAGAGCGCUACAGCUAUUCAUGUAUAGCAGUAGCGUGGGUCAACAGGCGCUACUGCUAUACGUUAGCUGUAGCGCCUUAUUAGUAGCGCCGGUACCCGCGCUACUGAGAGGGCCAAAACCCGCGUUGCUGCUAGGCUUUUCCCUAGUAGUGAGACACGAAAGAGUGCGACCUCUCUUGCGGACCCGUGUAGUCCUUGAGGUCAUCUGCUCGGUUGAUGAUGGUAAUCCAGUUUUCAAUCCUGCCGGUGGCGGGGAAGAAGAUCUGAGGCGGCGAAAGACAGUCUGGAGGCUGGAUCCCUACUGUGCUGGACCCUUCUGCCGUUCGAGCAGCUGAGCUGGGGUGGACGACGGCGCAGUAGGAGAGGGACAAACCAUGCAACGUUUUCUUUGACAACUAUCUAUAAGAGAAGUAACUCUGUAAGGGCUCGUUUGAAUUGGAGGAUUCCAACAAUGUAGGGAUAGGAAAUAGAUAGGAAUAGGAUAGGAAUGCACGUGCAAAACGGAGAAUUUAAAAACACAGGAUAUCUGCCAAUCUGGGUGUUUGAUUCACAACAAUUGGAAGAUCACAGGAUGCAAAGAAGCAUGGUAAGAUUAAGUCAAACCACAAGAAAAUGUAUGGUUAUAAUGCUAUUAUGCUACUAUCUCUUAGUCUUGUACUUCAUGAAUAGGAAUUUGAAAAGGAGGACAAGUGAAAAUUAAAAUUCCUACAUUUUUUCUUUCAAGGAGACACUAAAGGAACAAAUCCUACAGUUUUCCUUUGCUCCAUUCCUUUGAACCAAAUUCAUGAAUAGUAGUACCAUAGGAAACUUUCCAAUUCCUAUGUUUUUCAUUCACUUUUCCUUUCAAGCACUGGUGAUUCUAGUAGGCAGGCUUGAGCAAGGAAAAGCCUACACUAAACAAAUGUUUUUGUGCUACUUCUAUUACUUUGGACCCAGGCCACUGCCCUACUAGCUCAACUCCCGCGGCCAUCGACAAAUGCACAGCUCAAACACACAGAGAUAAAUAAUGAUGGCGUUCAAGAGAGUCCAUCACGGAUAGCUAAGUUUCCUGGUACCUCACUUCUUGUCAUAUAGUAGGAUAAAAUAAUUGUAUUUCCUGUUACUACGUAUGCUCAGUGGACAAUAUAUAUAACAUGUAGAGUAAAAAAAGAUAUGCAACAAGUGUACAACCUCUUUGGCGAAGCCAUGUCGAUCUCAGCGUGAUUGGGUUGGCCGGUGAGGAUGCUCUAGCUGACUUUGCUGUCGGAGGAGGGUAAGAAGAUCUUAGGCGUCUGGAGAUGGAGCCCGAGGUACUGCUCCGCUGUGAUGGAGGGUUUCGUUGUUGGAGCAGCUCCGGUGAGUUGUACGACGCCGAGGCUGAAGCAGGACAAGAGAGACAAUGUUAACCUGAGUGGAAUUCUAAUAGCAUCUCCAAUACAUGAUGUAAAAUACAUAACCGCAAAGUGCUAGAUGUAAAAUACAUCAGCCGCUCAUCUCUGAACUUAACUGUCGAAACUGAAUUUAACUAUCAAAACUGAACUUAACUAUUGAAACUGAAUUUUGCUGUCGAAACUGAAUUUUACUGUCGAAACUGAAUGCACUAGCAAGGUGAGGCUACACGUCAGUCGAUUGACUUUUUCAUCUCUAGUCAGUCAAUUUUGCAGCCGUUGGACAUGAAAUCAAGGGCCUGCGGUUCAUCUUCAACCUCCACCCCCGUGAGCCGCCAGCCGCCGUCGGCCAAACAGCAGCCCCCAGCCGCCCGCGGCCGGCGGUGCGCCGCCUCGCCCGCCCCGAAAACACUCCCCACCACCAGUCUGCCGCCGCCCCAGCCNNNNNNNNNNNNNNNNNNNNNNNNNNNNNNNNNNNNNNNNNNNNNNNNNNNNNNNNNNNNNNNNNNNNNNNNNNNNNNNNNNNNNNNNNNNNNNNNNNNNNNNNNNNNNNNNNNNNNNNNNNNNNNNNNNNNNNNNNNNNNNNNNNNNNNNNNNNNNNNNNNNNNNNNNNNNNNNNNNNNNNNNNNNNNNNNNNNNNNNNNNNNNNNNNNNNNNNNNNNNNNNNNNNNNNNNNNNNNNNNNNNNNNNNNNNNNNNNNNNNNNNNNNNNNNNNNNNNNNNNNNNNNNNNNNNNNNNNNNNNNNNNNNNNNNNNNNNNNNNNNNNNNNNNNNNNNNNNNNNNNNNNNNNNNNNNNNNNNNNNNNNNNNNNNNNNNNNNNNNNNNNNNNNNNNNNNNNNNNNNNNNNNNNNCCCCCACCCUGGACCCUAAGAUAGAUAGUGGGGUACCUCUCCGGCGAGCCCCCCUCCCCGCUACGGUUGGUUCUUCCUUCACCCCGGCGAGCCCCCCACCCCCUGAAAAUCGACUGACCCAAAAGUCGAUUCAGUCGACUGAAGUGUAGCUAAAUCGGAGCAGCAUCGCAAGCAAGAGAAAGAGCGAGAGCAGCAGCGCGAGCAAGAGCAAUAGCAAAAGCAGACCAGGCAGGGGACCGAGAGCAAGAGCAAGAGCAGAGCAGCGCGAGCGAGAGCUAAAGCAGCAGCAGCUCCUACUGAUGUGGACGUCGCCGCCGAGGGAGCGACGCCAUGGAGGAAGUGGCCGGCGACGCCGCCGUGGAUGGAGCCGCCCCGUGUCGGCUCGGGACCGAGCGCCGGUAGCACCGUGGGAUCGAAUCAAGAAGAAAAUGUGGUGAUUAGUAUACAACCGCUUUGGUGGCGCUGAUUAGGCCGCAUCUUCAUCCGAAGAAACGGUGAAGAUGAUGCUCUUCAGAUGGUGCAGGUGAAGACGACGGUGUGGGAAUGGAGGUGGCGCGAAAGAUGAGGGGAAUGUCGGGGAAGCUCCUUGGAGGUGGAGGACGGGGUGGCUGAACCGGUGGGACGACGAGAUCGACGAUGGAUCCUCAUUCGGUAUGGUGGAUGAGGGAUGUUGAGGUGUUGUUGUGGACGACGUCGUCGGGGAAGAGGCUCCGGCUGGGUGGCGGAUGGAGGAGGGUGUGGGGCUUCGUCGUGGCUUUUCACGGCCUUGGUGUACGAAUGAGUGGGCGGAUGGGAUGGGAGUGGGGAAGACGCGCUUGUCCGAAAUGUGGGGUAAGUUAUGAAAGUACCCCCACCGAUUUGAGGUGGUUCUCGGUUCAGGGGUACCACUGGCAUUUCGCAUGUCAGGAUUUCACAGGAGGUGGGAGUUUUCGCGCGCGUUGUAAUUUUGGAAUAGCAAGGCGCGGGUUGAGAUGGAGGGAGUUGUCGGAGCACAACAAGACAAAGAUAUAUCUUAAAUAUUUCAGGCUAACAAGGCGCGGGUUGAAAUUUGCGGACAAGCCUAACGUGUACUGUACCAAAUCAAUUCGCACUACAAAUUCCAUUCAAAACUUUGAAUUCAUGUUAUGUUCAAUUAAAAUAUUUCGCUUCGUGUAUAAUGCAUGCAACCUACUACUCAAAUGAACGUUUUAGUGCAUUCCAAACGUAUAUACUACUGCUUCAAUAUGAACUAAAUUUGAAUUUGUUUCUCUAUUUGAAUAAGAUCUGCAGUAAUGAUUGUUGUGAAGUCAAAGCAUUUGAAUUUGUUUCUCUGUUUUAAUAAGAUCUACAAUCAUCAUUAUUGUCAAGUUAAACCAUCGUUUGUGUAUUAUCUUCAUAGCACACCACAUGAUUAGUCUCGAGUUACAUAUGAACUAUGUGUACUAUAUGAACUCGAACUCGAUUUUUUGAAUCCACUUUAUGUUGAUUUCAAAUCACAUUACAUUUCUAGCUCUAGCUAGAUCUUCAUAAUCUAAACCAUGUCUCAUAUGUAUAAUGUGUUUAUCACAUUAUGUAUGGUGCCCUGUCCCCUACGCCUACAAGUAUUUAGAUGUGAGUUGCAAACACCACACAUUACCACAAAUUCAAAUAAAAUGUGAGAAUCUUCGAUAUAUAGUAUUGUUUAGAUUGUUCAAUAUUUAGUUGUAAGCUGCAAACGCCACACAUUAUCACAAAUUAAAAUAACAUGUGGGAUUUUUUGAUGUACAGUAUGGUUUAGAUUGUUUGACAUUUAGCUAUGAGUUGCAAACGCCAUGCAUUAUCACACUAUGGUAUAACAUGUGCACAGCACGCGUAUCACCGCUAUAUUCAUGCAUGCAUAUGUUUAAAACACUAUGAUCUCCUAUUCAAAUAUAUGAAUCCACUUUCAUAUCAAAUUAUGAUCUUUGUUAGUCUCUUACACCCAAAAAUCCUCUAACCUUUGUAGCUACCACUAACUUUCUCUCGUGCAUGCACACGCCCUCCUCCCCCUCCCCCUCUCUCGGCAUUCUGUCCACCGGGCACAUUCAUUUUUUUCUUUAGGUCGUUCUCCCAGAGUCUCCACAACUCCUUUCCGACACACACCGAUCGAUAAACCUCUCUGGUGAUGCCUGCCUGCAACAUACACACGCACCUUCAAUCUCCUCCUUUAUGUGUCCUUG
rnacentral:lncRNA from 1 species